ACAUGCUAUCUAUGUUCUUGAGAUAGUACCUGGUUCUCCUGCCAGUAUAGAAGGCAGUUUGCAACCACACGACCAGAUUGUCUACAUUUGUGGGUUGCGGACUGAGGGCAUCAACCUGGAUGAAGCCAUAAGAGCAAUUGAAGCUGCAAGCCAGUAUGUCCACAUCAAAGCAACAAGAAAUGGCAAUCCAGUGGUUCCCAUAGAGCAGCAAAAUACCAAACACUCAGAGGAAGAUAGUUGCUGUGCUGAACAAAGUACAUUGGAAUUAGCAA
rnacentral:lncRNA from 1 species